rnacentral:rRNA from 1 species
GGGAAGAGCCCAGCGCUGAAUCUUUCGGUCGUCAGGCCGCUAAGAAAUGUAGCGUAUAGGUGUUGCUGUCCAGCUGCGACGCAUGUCCGAAGUUCCUUUGAUAGGGACCACAGUCCUCCAUAGAGGGUGCAAGACCUGUACGGACAGUGUUGUAGUUGGUAUGGUAAUACUUUGGAGUAGGGUUGCUUGAAAGUGCAGCCUCAAGCGGGUGAUAUACUUCAUCCAAGGCUAAAUAUAGACGUGAAUUCGAUAGCAAACAAGUACCGUGAGGGAAAGUUGCAAAGGACUUUGAAGAGAGAGUUCAAGAGAACGUGAAAUCGCUGGAGUGAAACCGGAGAGAGUUGACGUAACCUGGUGACUAAGCUUUGUGAGGUCGCUUCAUUGUGGCCUUACUUUGUGGAUGUUGCCUAUGGUUGCACUGGCUAUGUUGUCGGAGCGUUCAGACCCGUGUAGUGUUGCCCAACUUGUUGGUGUCUUGCUUGCGGUUAUGCUCGUCUCUGAUAAUGUGCAGCUCUGCU